rnacentral:rRNA from 1 species
GACGAACCGUACGAACGUUAUUCGGAAUUACUGGGCUUAAAGGGUUUGUAGGCGGCCUUGUAAGUCAGGUGUGAAAUCCCUCGGCUCAACCGAGGAAUGGCGCUUGAUACUGCAAGGCUUGAGGGACCUAGAGGUGAGCGGAACUGAUGGUGGAGCGGUGAAAUGCGUUGAUAUCAUCAGGAACACCGGAGGCGAAGGCGGCUCACUGGGGGUCUUCUGACGCUGAGGAACGAAAGCCAGGGGAGCGAACGGG